rnacentral:rRNA from 1 species
UGGGGAAUAUUGCACAAUGGGGGGAACCCUGAUGCAGCGACGCCGCGUGAAGGAAGAAGUAUUUCGGUAUGUAAACUUCUAUCAGCAGGGAAGAAAAUGACGGUACCUGACUAAGAAGCCCCGGCUAACUACGUGCCAGCAGCCGCGGUAAUACGUAGGGGGCAAGCGUUAUCCGGAUUUACUGGGUGUAAAGGGAGCGUAGGCGGCGAUGCAAGUCAGAAGUGAAAGCCCGCAGCUCAACUGCGGGACUGCUUUUGAAACUGUAUUGCUAGAUUGCAGGAGAGGUAAGUGGAAUUCCUAGUGUAGCGGUGAAAUGCGUAGAUAUUAGGAGGAACACCAGUGGCGAAGGCGGCUUGCUGGACGAUGACUGACGCUGAGGCUCGAAAGCGUGGGGAGCAAACAGG